AGAGCAAGUGAGGCCUUUGGAGUUCAUCUGCAAACCUGGAACACAGUGCAGGAGAAGAGGUGCUGAGUUGUACAUGAUCACUCGUACUGAAAGCCAGCAUGCCUCGCUCUCCCUUUGGUUUUGCUGGGAAAGAGCACUGGUACAGGAAAUUAGAUGGGAAGGAAGAAGAAAAUGGUCUCUCGCCUGGCCAGUUUGUUGCAGCAGAGUUGGGAACAGUGUAUGUUGUCCCUCUUGUCAUGCUUGUUUUCUGUCCCCUAGAGCAGCUGUCCGUCUCUGGUAAGCUUGCGGGGUGAAUUCUUUCUGUGUUCUUGGCUCCUUCAGCCACCCUUGCACUGUGUCUGUGGGGAAAUGGGCAUUUCGUCCUGUAUUUGAGUUGAGCUGGAGGAGGCAAUGCGUGUACCCAAAAUACGUUUUGCAGGAAGCCAUCCCUUGGCUGUGAAGUACUCCUUUGUAGCAGCCAAACAUUCCAGUUGUCCUUGGGGCUCUCCCCUCCUCACUAAGGGAUGGAUGCUGACAUUACACAAGAAGGAAGGCCAGGCUUCACAUCUUCCCCUAUCUGCAACACCAGAUAAUGCUGCUUGCUCCUUGACCCCCCUGUGCAUUUCGAGCUCUGUGCUGCUGCUGUGGUUUUCCUCUGGAGAGCACUCGCACGUCUGAGGCACUCCAAGCAUAUGCUGAGUCCUCUUCCCACUGGUUGAAAUGCAACAAUUCUUACAGGUCUGGUCAGCGUUUUCCUUGCUUCAGUGUAAGGGGGAUAUAAAGGCAGCAAGUUACGGACUUCAUGGCUAAUCUUACUAGUAUCUGCAUGGGAGGCUUUGGAACUGGGAGACACUGGAUGUCUGUUUUUUCAAGUGAAUGUAUUUUGAGUCAAAAAAUGACAAACAAUAGUGGCCAUAAUGGGCCUGAAGGGGGAGGAGACAUGGAAAGGUCCUAAAAGUCGACUUUGUCCAGGUCUUGAUGGCACAAAAUAUGGCCUUGAACAACUUACUGAAGCAAUAGCAGUGAGGGGACUGUCUUUACAGUACCUUGGAUCUAUAAUUCAGAAGAUACUGAAGCAGCUGGGAAAGGUACCAGUGCCUUGCCUAAGGCUGGUACUAGCUGUGAGCCGCAGCAGCACUGACGCUGGUGCACUUUUAUGUGUUCAUUUUCUACUUGGAGGCUGUGAGGGAAGGAGCUGCUGGACUGCUUCCCUUUUAACUUUCACUCUACUCCUGUAUAUUCCUUUUUCUUUCGUGAUGUUGUAAUUUAAAUUUUACAGAGAGCCCCAUCCCACCUCUUAGACAGUACAGAUUAAAAAAAGGCAAACAAAAAGCAAUCCCCAAAAAACCCACCAAAUUUAAAGUGAAAAACGUGCCAUUUGAGGCAGGGCACCUGUUGGCACUCAAAAUUCUGGAGACCUAUUUUUGAGAUGUGAAAAAUUUAGGUAAAUGCUGAGUAAUAGGUGAGUGAGGAGCUUAACAGAUGUAAACAUUUACAUGGGAUGCAUUAGACUUCUGCUGUGUGUAUUGUCUUUUGGUUGAAACAAAUUAUGAAGUGACUAAUAAAAUGAGUCAAUAUUCAAUGAUUUAAAA